GCCAGGUGUGGUGGGGCACGCCUGUAAUCCCAGCUACUUGGGAGGCUGAGGCAGGAGGACUGCAAGUUGGAGGCCAGCCUUAG
rnacentral:sRNA from 1 species